UACGUAGGGUGCGAGCGUUGUUCGGAAUUAUUGGGCGUAAAGAGCUCGUAGGCGGUCUGUCGCGUCUGCUGUGAAAACCCGAGGCUCAACCUCGGGCCUGCAGUGGGUACGGGCAGACUAGAGUGCGGUAGGGGAGAAUGGAAUUCCUGGUGUAGCGGUGGAAUGCGCAGAUAUCAGGAGGAACACCAGUGGCGAAGGCAGUUCUCUGGGCCGUAACUGACGCUGAGGAGCGAAAGCAUGGGGAGCGAACAGG
rnacentral:rRNA from 1 species